rnacentral:rRNA from 1 species
AACGAACGCUGGCGGCAGGCCUAACACAUGCAAGUCGAGCGAGGACUUCGGUCCUAGCGGCGGACGGGUGAGUAACGCGUGGGAACGUGCCCUUUGCUUCGGAAUAGCCCUGGGAAACUGGGAGUAAUACCGGAUGAGCCCUUUGGGGGAAAGAUUUAUCGGCGAAGGAUCGGCCCGCGUUGGAUUAGGUAGUUGGUGGGGUAAUGGCCUACCAAGCCGACGAUCCAUAGCUGGUUUGAGAGGAUGAUCAGCCACACUGGGACUGAGACACGGCCCAGACUCCUACGGGAGGCAGCAGUGGGGAAUCUUAGACAAUGGGGGAAACCCUGAUCGAGCCAUGCCGCGUGAGCGAUGAAGGCCUUAGGGCUGUAAAGCUCUUUCAGCUGGGAAGAUAAUGACGGUACCAGCAGAAGAAGCCCCGGCUAACUCCGUG